CUUGUAGUAAUACAGCAGAAAGCGAAGCAGAGUUUUGGUUUUGGAUGCUCCGUGUAUUUUACGGUCGUAUCCCACUGUAUUCGUAUCUAUACAGUACACCAUAUGAAGAUCGCGUAUUCCAAGGGUAGAUACCGCCUUUAACUGAACGACUACCCCGUCAUCUUCAACGUAGCGGUAUCGAAACUAAACGCAGAGCGAAUGUCAAAAGGUUCGGUAUCCCAUCGUUAAAGUCUCUCUUUCUCUCUCUACCAAUCAAUAGCACGAUCAUAGCUUCGAAAACCAAUGCUCAUUCCACAUAUUUCGAUGUCGAAAAAGGUCCUGUAUCGCGUUCACUUUUAAUAGGUUUCAAGCUACUAAUCUAAUUGCUCCAAAUCGCUAACUACAUUUCAUUUCUUGUUGAUUUAUGAAAUUGUGCUUUCUUCUGGUACAUCUCCGAUAUAAAAUGUGCUGUAUUGAACUUUACUCCAAAAAAUCACGGGAACUGUUCAGAACCCAAGGAACAACUUAUUUCGAUUGAUGGAAAAACAAAGGAUGAGGUUUAUUGAGGUCUGGAGAGAGUGCUUCUUAAGAUGGCGAUAACCACCUCAGAACUUAAGGGUAUGGCUUUUGUCUUUGAUGGCCGAGCUCUUGAGGUUGCUCUUAAGCACUACUGCAAAGCUUUUACUGAUCUGGCAAUAUUGUCAAGGACUGGUAGAUGUUGUCGUAUGACACUAUUCAAAAAGCACAGUAUUUGUCACAGCUUGUGCAGAUCUUAAAAUCGUGUGAUUAUAGAACAUUUGCAAUUGGUGUUGUGGGAAUGAUGUAGGGAUGAUACAACAUGCCGAUAUAUACAUUGGCAUUAGUAUACAAGAAGGAUUGCGGGCCGGAAGGAUAGUAUUGGAAUUUUUCAUUUAUUUCAGGCGACUCUUCUUGAUCCUGAACCAGCCUCUUCAAUUCUCUUAGCUUGAUGGCUUAUUAUAUUUUGUACAAGUGUUCAUGUUCUUGUCACUGUCAAAUGUCUCAGUGAGGAUCCGUGAUGUAUCUAAAGUUGGAGUUUGACAGAUGUUGCUAAUUGAAUUGCUUUUUAAACGCUCACAGUUGCAGCCAGCAUGGGUCCAACUCUUGCCAUAAGUAGUUCUGGUACAUAAACCAAGCAAAAUCAGUACACUUCAGCAUGCUGAACAACUGGAGAUGCCAAUUUUAUCUUUCAGCAUUAUCAAGCCCAAGCCUACCCAUAAAUACUUAUGUAAAAACUUAAAUUAAUUCUCUCUCUUAAUAUCACUUCAACUUUUUUAUGCAUAUUUAGGGACGAUAGUUUUAUUCUAAAUUUUUUAUAUAAUAAAACUUUAUAUCAAAUUUUCUAAAUUUUUUUUCCUGAAAUUUUUUCAUCUUUUUCAGAAACUUAUCGAAUCAGUAAAAAUUUGAAUCUUAUACUGAGGUAAUUUAAGAGGGCAAAAUAUAAAUGUGUAACUUGACUCUUGAUAUUAUGUUCAAGCUAUUUAGCAGACUUUUCAGAUCGGUUUGUCAUUUUUUGUGUGUGAACGGUUUGUCAAUCUAAUGGUUUGCUCUAGGCAUUUUGUAUAGUUUGUAUUUGUAUUCAUAAUUGUUACUAUGUGUCAGAAUAUGUCAUACACUGUAUUUUAAUACAUUUUGCUUAUAAAAAAACAAAUAAUUAAACCUGAUGAACUUACUAAAAAUCAUUUAAUAAUCUUACCAAGCAACAUUUCCAUGUUAAAGUGUACUAGCCAACUAGGUCUAUGUACCACUCUCCAUUUAAAAGUGGGGUUAUGCUACUAUUAUAAUAUUGUUGAGCUCUUUUAAAACAAAUAAUUAAUGUUCUGUAUGGUUGAUAGCAACAGCAACGUUAUUAAAUCCAAGAAAACGACGUCUAAAUCCGCAUGGAAAUUAAGGAUGUGAACACAUUAUAAGCUCAAAUUUAGUUACCUUUUCAAUGGUAUGGAAGCAGUGUAAUAUAAUAUUAAUCGAACAUCCCUUGUCAGAACUCAACCAUAAAAUGAAGAAAAACUAGCAUUGAUUGAAAAUGAAAUGCAGAAAAGUUCAAAAGCAUGGAGAAUAUAUAUGAUAGCAUUCUGCAUUGAGAAAUGUAUAUACAUGCAUCAAUAUAUUGGCCUAUAUGACAAAGAUAUAAGUAUACCCAUUCCGAAAUGUCGGUAGUUUCAUUCACUUGAGGAAAAAAAAGAAAAUAACAGUAACAAAACAAGAGUAUGGUAUGGGCUGGUUGUCCCACAAAAGGUGAUGUUUUAAUUGAUCAUCUACAAACGAAUUUUGAAAUUAUG